GACGAACGCUGGCGGCGUGCCUAAUACAUGCAAGUCGAACGAACUCUGGUAUUGAUUGGUGCUUGCAUCAUGAUUUACAUUUGAGUGAGUGGCGAACUGGUGAGUAACACGUGGGAAACCUGCCCAGAAGCGGGGAGUAACACCUGGAAACAGAUGCUAAUACCGCAUAACAACUUAGGGACCCGGCCAUGGUCCGGAGUUUGAAAGAUGGCUUCGGCUAUCU
rnacentral:rRNA from 1 species